rnacentral:tRNA from 1 species
GGGGUUGUGGCUCAGUAGUAGAGCACUUGCCUAGCACGCCAAGAGGCACUGGGUUUGAUCCCCAGCACCA